AGCGAACGCUGGCGGCAGGCCUAACACAUGCAAGUCGAGCGUCCCGCAAGGGGAGCGGCAGACGGGAGAGUAACACGUGGGAACGUACCCUUCGGUUCGGAACAACCCAGGGAAACUUGGGCUAAUACCGGAUACGUCCGAAAGGAGAAAGAUUUAUCGCCGGGGGAUCGGCCCGCGUCUGAUUAGCUGGUUGGUGGGGUAACGGCCCACCAAGGCGACGAUCAGUAGCUGGUCUGAGAGGAUGAUCAGCCUCACUGGGACUGAGACAUGGCCCAGACUCCUACGGGAGGCAGCAGUGGGGAAUAUUGGACAAUGGGCGCAAGCCUGAUCCAGCCAUGCCGCGUGGGUGAUGAAGGCCCUAGGGUUGUAAAGCCCUUUCGGCGGGGAAGAUAAUGACGGUACCCGCAGAAGAAGCCCCGGCUAACUUCGUGCCAGCCGCCGCAGUAA
rnacentral:rRNA from 1 species